AGAGUUUGAUCAUGGCUCAGGACGAACGCUGGCGGCGUGCCUAAUACAUGCAAGUUGAACGCUAAAGCUUUAACUGGUGCUUGCACCGACCUAAGUUUUUAGAGUAGCGGACGGGUGAGUAACACGUGGGUAACCUGCCCAUCAGAGGGGGAUAACACUUGGAAACAGGUGCUAAUACCGCAUAAUUCCUUUUACCGCAUGGUAAAAGGCUGAAAGGCGCUUCUGGUGUCACUGAUGGAUGGACCCGCGGUGCAUUAGCUAGUCGGUGGGGUAACGGCCUACCGAGGCGAUGAUGCAUAGCCGACCUGAGAGGGUGAUCGGCCACAUUGGGACUGAGACACGGCCCAAACUCCUACGGGAGGCAGCAGUAGGGAAUCUUCGGCAAUGGACGAAAGUCUGACCGAGCAACGCCGCGUGAGUGAAGAAGGUUUUCGGAUCGUAAAACUCUGUUGUUAGAGAAGAACAGGAGAAGUAGUAACUGGCUUCUUUUUGACGGUAUCUAACCAGAAAGCCACGGCUAACUACGUGCCAGCAGCCGCGGUAAUACGUAGGUGGCAAGCGUUGUCCGGAUUUAUUGGGCGUAAAGCGAGCGCAGGCGGUUUCUUAAGUCUGAUGUGAAAGCCCUCGGCUCAACCGAGGAGGGUCAUUGGAAACUGGGAGACUUGAGUGCAGAAGAGGAAAGUGGAACUCCAUGUGUAGCGGUGGAAUGCGUAGAUAUAUGGAAGAACGCCAGUGGCGAAGGCGGCUUUCUGGUCUGUAACUGACGCUGAGGCUCGAAAGCGUGGGGAGCAAACAGGAUUAGAUACCCUGGUAGUCC
rnacentral:rRNA from 1 species